UUCUUCUCUUAUUCUUAAACUGGUAUGCAUGUGAUGCUUGACUGCAUUUUUAGGGAUGAAAAUGGAGUAAAUGAAAAACAUGAAACUUUUAGGUCUUAAGAUGCUAUGCACCCAUGGUUGAAGUUGGGCCAAAUCCAUAUAAAACCAACAGUUUUGUGGCGUUUAUACUCUUUUAAGGUUUAAGCACAUGGGCUGACCCAAGCAGGGAUGAACAUACAAAUACAAGGAUGAUGUCAAAAUCAAGCACAUGCAAUUCAAGAGUCACCGCCAAUUAUCGAUUCAAUUUCUUUCAAAUUUAUUAAAAUUAGGAAAAGAAAAAGCACAAUAAAAAUUGGACUAAAUUAUCAAUAAAUGCCGAAAAUUUUCAAAUUUACCAGUUUUUUUUAGAAAAUUUACAGGAAUAGGUGGAUUUUAUGAAUAUUUCACCAUUUCCCAGUUCAAUCUGGAUAUGACAACGAUUAGUUUUCCUCUAGGAAUUACUUCAUCUAUCUCUAGUUUCUCAAAUAUUAGUUGUUGUUUGCUCUACCUUCCCUAAAUGCUUCCUUCUGUGCCUCCAAUCGUCGAGAUGCAAUGGGGUUAGAUCGUCUGCUUGUGGGAGCUUUCUCACACUUUUGUUGGAGAUUCUCUUCUCCUCUCCCUACCGAGGCUCGCUCUUUUAGUUUCCAACCGAGCCUUUGAUGUGUUGUUUUCUCUAAGUAUCAUCUUCCACCUAGUGAGCCACCGGAUGGAAUGUGAUAGAGCUUCAAUGUCAAUGAACCUGUUGGGUUGUGGUAGUAUGGCCAACCUGUUGGAGGUGAGCAUGAUUGGCGGAUGCUCCAAACCCGUUAUGGUUUGGAUGCUUUUUCCUAUUAAUGGGUUUAGGUUUUUGGAAUUAAAUUAAAUUUUUUUAUAGUAGCUAGAAUAUAACUUUUAGCUCACAAUUUUAUCAUUUUUAAAAUGUAAUUUUAUCAUUUAUUAAUUUAUAAUUUUUUAAAUUUUAGAGAAAUAAAUACACAAAAUUUUCAUUUUAGGGA